GAAGUCGGUGCGGCCAACCUCGUGAGGCAGGCCGCCUAAAGAGGUGACUGGUGACUGGGGUG
rnacentral:rRNA from 1 species